CCUACGGGAGACAGCAGUGAGGAAUAUUGGUCAAUGGGCGCGAGCCUGAACCAGCCAAGUAGCGUGAAGGAUGACUGCCCUACGGGUUGUAAACUUCUUUUAUAAAGGAAUAAAGUGAGGCACGUGUGCCUUUUUGUAUGUACUUUAUGAAAAAGGAUCGGCUAACUCCGUGCCAGCAGCCGCGGUAAUACGGAGGAUGCGAGCGUUAUCCGGAUUUAUUGGGUUUAAAGGGUGCGCAGGCGGAGGCACAAGUCAGCGGUAAAAUCAGGGGGCUCAACCCCGCUCCGCUGUUGAAACUGUGUCCUUUGAUGGCGCGAAGGGUAGGCGGAAGGGGUGGUGUAGCGGGGAAAUGCA
rnacentral:rRNA from 1 species